rnacentral:rRNA from 1 species
AUAAUGGGUCAGCGACUUAUAUUCUGUAGCAAGGUUAACCGAAUAGGGGAGCCGAAGGGAAACCGAGUCUUAACUGGGCGUUAAGUUGCAGGGUAUAGACCCGAAACCCGGUGAUCUAGCCAUGGGCAGGUUGAAGGUUGGGUAACACUAACUGGAGGACCGAACCGACUAAUGUUGAAAAAUUAGCGGAUGACUUGUGGCUGGGGGUGAAAGGCCAAUCAAACCGGGAGAUAGCUGGUUCUCCCCGAAAGCUAUUUAGGUAGCGCCUCGUGAAUUCAUCUCCGGGGGUAGAGCACUGUUUCGGCAAGGGGGUCAUCCCGACUUACCAACCCGAUGCAAACUGCGAAUACCGGAGAAUGUUAUCACGGGAGACACACGGCGGGUGCUAACGUCCGUCGUGAAGAGGGAAACAACCCAGACCGCCAGCUAAGGUCCCAAAGUCAUGGUUAAGUGGGAAACGAUGUGGGAAGGCCCAGACAGCCAGGAUGUUGGCUUAGAAGCAGCCAUCAUUUAAAGAAAGCGUAAUAGCUCACUGGUCGAGUCGGCCUGCGCGGAAGAUGUAACGGGGCUAAACCAUGCACCGAAGCUGCGGCAGCGACGCUUAUGCGUUGUUGGGUAGGGGAGCGUUCUGUAAGCCUGUGAAGGUGUGCUGUGAGGCAUGCUGGAGGUAUCAGAAGUGCGAAUGCUGACAUAAGUAACGAUAAAGCGGGUGAAAAGCCCGCUCGCCGGAAGACCAAGGGUUCCUGUCCAACGUUAAUCGGGGCAGGGUGAGUCGACCCCUAAGGCGAGGCCGAAAGGCGUAGUCGAUGGGAAACAGGUUAAUAUUCCUGUACUUGGUGUUACUGCGAAGGGGGGACGGAGAAGGCUAUGUUGGCCGGGCGACGGUUGUCCCGGUUUAAGCGUGUAGGCUGGUUUUCCAGGCAAAUCCGGAAAAUCAAGGCUGAGGCGUGAUGACGAGGCACUACGGUGUUGAAGCAACAAAUGCCCUGCUUCCAGGAAAAGCCUCUAAGCAUCAGGUAACAUCAAAUCGUACCCCAAACCGACACAGGUGGUCAGGUAGAGAAUACCAAGGCGCUUGAGAGAACUCGGGUGAAGGAACUAGGCAAAAUGGUGCCGUAACUUCGGGAGAAGGCACGCUGAUAUGUAGGUGAAGUCCCUCGCGGAUGGAGCUGAAAUCAGUCGAAGAUACCAGCUGGCUGCAACUGUUUAUUAAAAACACAGCACUGUGCAAACACGAAAGUGGACGUAUACGGUGUGACGCCUGCCCGGUGCCGGAAGGUUAAUUGAUGGGGUUAGCGCAAGCGAAGCUCUUGAUCGAAGCCCCGGUAAACGGCGGCCGUAAC